AGGUCACACUCCUUCAGCUUCCCCGUUUCUGAAUCCCAGGUCUAUCCACGGCCUUCUCAACAGAUGACUUCAAGUUGAUUUCGUGCUUUAUUUCUUAAGAAUAGUGACUAACCUAAGGGAUCUGAUUCAAUUUAUUAGGAACACAGUGCCACCUUCCAAAAUUACUUACCUAAGAGGACUGAGCCUGCUGUCCCUGGAGCAGUUAGCUAAAACAGUGCCUCAGUACGGAGCGUACCUGUGUUAACUUCUAGAGUGCUGUUUCCGGCAGCUGCUGAAAUCCACGCUGAGGUUAUCAAGCUCAUCCUACAAAAUAAAGCAAGUUCUUCGCAAUUUAAAGCAAAAAUCUGGGCUUAUUUUUAGGGUUUUGGGGGAUGUGAAAGUUGUCUUAGAUAAGAUUCCAGGAAAGCUAAGAACUAACGAUGCAAUUACAGUCACCUUUCAACAACUUUGGGGAUUGGGUUGAGGAAGGUGUGAAAUUGGGAAAUAUAAUAAAAGGUAUUAUAUUAGUGACUUUCUAGAGUAGCCCUUGGCAGUCCUGUCUUUAAAGAGUAAUAACUGGAAAAAAAAAUGAAUGAUAAUACACUGCAUCCAAGAACCUUGCCUCUGGUGAGGGUAAUUUGCAAACGCAUUUUGGGAUAAUGUUCAGCAUUCAAUAUAAUCUUCCCUGGAAUUAGCAAUGCCUUUUGGGUCAGAG
rnacentral:lncRNA from 1 species